AUUGAGCGCUGGCGGCAUGCCUUACACAUGCAAGUCGAACGGUAACGCGGGGGCAACCCUGGCGACGAGUGGCGAACGGGUGAGUAAUACAUCGGAACGUACCCAGUAGUGGGGGAUAGCUCGGCGAAAGCCGGAUUAAUACCGCAUACGACCUAUGGGUGAAAGCGGGGGAUCGCAAGACCUCGCGCUAUUGGAGCGGCCGAUGUCGGAUUAGCUAGUUGGUGAGGUAAAGGCUCACCAAGGCUACGAUCCGUAGCUGGUCUGAGAGGACGACCAG
rnacentral:rRNA from 1 species